rnacentral:rRNA from 1 species
CGGAGGUGCAAGCGUUGUCCGGAUUAUUGGUUAAAGGGUGCGUAGGCGGUUCUUAAGUCUGGGGUGAAGCCCGUUGCUCAACAACGGAACUGCCCUGGAAACUGGAGGACUUGAGUACAGACGAGGGUGGCGGAAUGGAUGCUGUAGCGGUGAAAUGCAUAGAUAGCAUCCAGAACCCCGAUUGCGAAGGCAGCUGCCUAGACUGUAACUGACGCUGAGGCACGAAAGCGUGGGGAGCGAACAGGAUU